rnacentral:rRNA from 1 species
CAGCCGCCGCGGUAAUACCGGCGGCCCGAGUGGCGGCCACUCUUAUUGGGCUUAAAGCGUCCGUAGCCGGGUUGGUUAGUCUCCCGGGAAAUCUGGCCGCUUAACGGUCAGAAUUCCGGGAGAUACUGCCAGCCUAGGGACCGGGAGAGGCCGAGGGGAUUCCCGGAGUAGGGGUGAAAUCCUAUAAUCCCGGGAGGACCACCUGUGGCGAAGGCGCUCGGCUGGAACGCGUCCGACGGUGAGGGACGAAGGCCAGGGGAGCAAACCGGAUUAGAUACCCGGGUAGUCCUGGCGGUAAACGAUGCGGACGUUGUGUCGGACAAGCUAUGAGCUUGUCCGGUGCCGGAGGGAAACCGUUAAGUCCGCCGCCUGGGGAGUACGGCCGCAAGGCUGAAACUUAAAGGAAUUGGCGGG